rfam:Flavobacterium sp. ov086 genome assembly, contig: Ga0070134_109
CCCUAGCCCAGAUAGAAGCGGCAUCCUUUUUUAUGGCUUUUUCUGCCAUAAAAAAGAUAUAGCGAAUAGCUGGAAAUAGC